UCCUUGAAAGGAAGUGGCUGUUCACACCGUGCGCGCAACGUGCCCGUGUGCGUCUUUCUUUCGUAUUGUCUUUCUAUGUAAAUAUGCGCUAAACGGAAGCCACGUCCAGCUGUUUUUUCACUGUCGCACGAAGGUUCAGGUUGCCCCAAAGAACACGCAUGAAGCUGGUCCAAGUAGUCAACAGAAGCAUCAACGUAAUAUACUUGAUGUAGACACAAUGCGAGCACUACUUGAAAGCAAAGGUCUGAGUAUAUAUAAGGAUUAUGAAGCUUCAGGAAUGCUUUCAGAGACAUCAAGAAAGCUCCUUGUGAAGAUAGGAGUCAGUGCGUUGGUGGAACAAAGUGGAUUUUACCCUUCUAAUGAAGAGAAACGGAUGUUGGCAGAAAGUGUGGUAACACUGUUUCCUUCUCUGAAGAUCAAGAUGGGAGAAGAGAAUGAAGGAUUGAACAUUUCUAUGACCCAAUUUCCCACAGUGGAUUUAUUGAGAUGAGACUUCGGAAUCUACGGAGGACACUUCAUGAUGAUCAGCGUCGCUACCAGCUCAAACGUAGUCGAAUCAGUGAUUCCUCUGGAGUGUCUAUCACUUUGGAAAUAACUGCUGAAGGGGAGGAGGAGUCCCUCUUGGGAGUGGACGACUGUGAUCAAAAGGAUGAAACCAUCUCCAGAAAACCUCAAUACCAUCAAAUCUGGCAUGGAGAAAACGUACAAUAAUCGCAGGUUAUGGGUCGCAAACAUGUCCCCAACAGUGAAAACAAACUGGUUGUGUACUUGCUUUAAACUGUGACUUAAGAGAAGAGCGUCUCUUUGGUGAAGUUUUACACAUAGUUCCACAAUUUGAAAAAGAAAUUGUUUUAGUUUUUCUUAGAGUUUUAACACAAAUAUACUUUCACCCACACUUGUAUGCUUACCCUGUCCAAAGAACAAAUGAGUACAAAGUGAUUAAUUUGAGCAAUGCUGCUGAUGUAAAACCUCUUCACAUGAUUUCCUACAAAGAAAACCUUUUUGUAAAUCCAAGAUAUAAAAUUGUUUAAAAAUGUCUUUAUGAAAAUCAAAUGACAUGUGAAUGUUGACUUUGUGAAAUGUUGAAUGUUGUCUUUACUGAUUGAUGAGUACAGUCAAAUUAUUAAGUCUCAUUUACUACAAUUUAAAGCUUCUAGUAUUAUUUAUUUUUUAUAUUAAGUAUUUUUUGUUCAGUCUAAUUUUGUAAGUUGGUAUAUAGAAUUAUAUUCAGUACUCGUUAGCAGCAGAACUAAUAUGAAUAAGAAUGAAGUGACCUCAGUUAUAUUGAUUUGCGAGCGGUGUGAUUUUCUGCAUCUGUUUAGAUGUACAUGUAUAAAUGAUUUUCCCUAACAUGACAUUGACAUUAAAGAGGUUAUACUUCCAGUUUAUCUAUAUUACUGACAAAUGUUUUCUGAAUGUGCUGCUCUUUACAUUGUGUGAACAAAAUGUGAGUGGUGCUUGUUUUGUGAAAAUGUAGCAGUUAAGUUUUUAAUAAAUUAUUUUUUUU